UACGUAGGGUGCGAGCGUUGUCCGGAAUUACUGGGCGUAAAGAGCUCGUAGGCGGUUUGUCGCGUCUGCUGUGAAAACCUAAGGCUCAACCUUGGGCUUGCAGUGGGUACGGGCAGACUAGAGUGCGGUAGGGGGAUGACUGGAAUUCCUGGUGUAGCGGUGGAAUGCGCAGAUAUCAGGAGGAACACCGAUGGCGAAGGCAGGUCACUGGGCCGCA
rnacentral:rRNA from 1 species